AUUGAACGCUGGCGGCAUGCUUUACACAUGCAAGUCGAACGGCAGCGCGGGGGCAACCCUGGCGGCGAGUGGCGAACGGGUGAGUAAUGUAUCGGAACGUAUCCUGUAAUGGGGGAUAACCAGUCGAAAGAUUGGGUAAUACCGCAUACGCACGAGAGUGGAAAGUAGGGGAUCGGCAAGACCUUACGUUAUAGGAGCGGCCGAUAUCUGAUUAGCUAGUUGGUGGGGUAAAGGCCUACCAAGGCGACGAUCAGUAGCUGGUCUGAGAGGACGACCAGCCACACUGGGACUGAGACACGGCCCAGACUCCUACGGGAGGCAGCAGUGGGGAAUUUUGGACAAUGGGCGAAAGCCUGAUCCAGCCAUGCCGCGUGCAGGAAGAAGGCCUUCGGUUGUAACCUACUGUCAUGGGGGAAGAAGGUAAGUAGACGGUACCCCGAACGAGGAAGCCCCUGCUAACUACUGCCAGCAGCCGCGGUAAGAGGUAACUCUAAU
rnacentral:rRNA from 1 species